UCUUGGUGCAAUUUUCGGGAC
rnacentral:siRNA from 1 species